UGGGGAAUAUUGGACAAUGGGCGAAAGCCUGAUCCAGCCAUGCCGCGUGUGUGAAGAAGGUCUUCGGAUUGUAAAGCACUUUAAGUUGGGAGGAAGGGCAGUAAGCGAAUACCUUGCUGUUUUGACGUUACCGACAGAAUAAGCACCGGCUAACUCUGUGCCAGCAGCCGCGGUAAUACAGAGGGUGCACGCGUUAAUCGGAAUUACUGGGCGUAAAGCGGGCGUAGGUGGUUCGUUAAGUUGAAUGUGAAAGCCCCGGGCUCAACCUGGGAACUGCAUCCAAAACUGGCGAGCUAGAGUAGGGCAGAGGGUGGUGGAAUUUCCUGUGUGGCGGUGAAAUGCGUGGAUAUAGGAAGGAACACCAGUGGCGAAGGCGACCACCUGGGCUCAUACUGACACUGAGGUGCGAAAGCGUGGGGAGCAAACAGG
rnacentral:rRNA from 1 species